CUUGCUUCUCUGACGUUAGCGGCGGACGGGUGAGUAACACGUGGAUAACCUACCUAUAAGACUGGGAUAACUUCGGGAAACCGGAGCUAAUACCGGAUAAUAUAUUGAACCGCAUGGUUCAAUAGUGAAAGACGGUUUUGCUGUCACUUAUAGAUGGAUCCGCGCCGCAUUAGCUAGUUGGUAAGGUAACGGCUUACCAAGGCAACGAUGCGUAGCCGACCUGAGAGGGUGAUCGGCCACACUGGAACUGAGACACGGUCCAGACUCCUACGGGAGGCAGCAGUAGGGAAUCUUCCGCAAUGGGCGAAAGCCUGACGGAGCAACGCCGCGUGAGUGAUGAAGGUCUUCGGAUCGUAAAACUCUGUUAUUAGGGAAGAACAAAUGUGUAAGUAACUAUGCACGUCUUGACGGUACCUAAUCAGAAAGCCACGGCUAACUACGUGCCAGCAGCCGCGGUAAUACGUAGGUGGCAAGCGUUAUCCGGAAUUAUUGGGCGUAAAGCGCGCGUAGGCGGUUUUUUAAGUCUGAUGUGAAAGCCCACGGCUCAACCGUGGAGGGUCAUUGGAAACUGGAAAACUUGAGUGCAGAAGAGGAAAGUGGAAUUCCAUGUGUAGCGGUGGAAUGCGCAGAGAUAUGGAGGAACACCAGUGGCGAAGGCGACUUUCUGGUCUGUAACUGACGCUGAUGUGCGAAAGCGUGGGGAUCAAAC
rnacentral:rRNA from 1 species